CUGCACCUUGAAAAAUGUAAUUGCCAUGUAAAUCUUACCUGCUUACUUUUCCUUAUACCAGGGAGUGGUUACCUGGAGCCCUGGUGUCUUUGGAAGGAGCAGAUAACCCAUAGCUUUUCUGCAGAAGCAGGUCACUGGGUAUCAAUGGGACAAAUAAUCACUCCAUGGCAUCAGCAUGUAUAUCAAGAAAGAGAAAGUCACUCUUUAAUAAAGCUAGAAAACACCAGUAUUUUCUCAGGAGAAAUUGCAAUUUUCAUUUUUAAUCUGUCUUGAUAAAGUUUUACAAGAUUCAGGACUUUCAUUUCUCUCAGGUAAGUAAGGCUCCU
rnacentral:lncRNA from 1 species